rnacentral:rRNA from 1 species
CUUCGGGUUGUAAAGCACUUUUAUCGGGAGCGAAAUACCAUUGGCUAAUAACCGAUGGGGCUGACGGUACCCGAGGAAUAAGCACCGGCUAACUUCGUGCCAGCAGCCGCGGUAAUACGAAGGGUGCAAGCGUUAAUCGGAAUUACUGGGCGUAAAGGGUGCGUAGGCGGUUAGUUAAGUCUGUUGUGAAAUCCCCGAGCUCAACCUGGGAAUGGCAAUGGAUACUGGCUAGCUAGAGUGUGUCAGAGGAUGGUGGAAUUUCCGGUGUAGCGGUGAAAUGCGUAGAGAUCGGAAGGAACAUCAGUGGCGAAGGCGGCCAUCUGGGACAACACUGACGCUGAAGCACGAAAGCGUGGGGAGCAAACAGGAUUAGAUACCCUGGUAGUCCACGCCCUAAACGAUGCGAACUGGAUGUUGGUCUCAACUCGGAGAUCAGUGUCGAAGCUAACGCGUUAAGUUCGCCGCCUGGGGAGUACGGUCGCAAGACUGAAACUCAAAGGAAUUGACGGAAUCACUA